rnacentral:rRNA from 1 species
AGAGUUUGAUCAUGGCUCAGGAUGAACGCUGGCGGCGUGCUUAACACAUGCAAGUCGAACGAUGAUCUCCAGCUUGCUGGGGGGAUUAGUGGCGAACGGGUGAGUAACACGUGAGUAACCUGCCCUUAACUCUGGGAUAAGCCUGGGAAACUGGGUCUAAUACCGGAUAUGACUCCUCAUCGCAUGGUGGGGGGUGGAAAGCUUUUGUGGUUUUGGAUGGACUCGCGGCCUAUCAGCUUGUUGGUGAGGUAAUGGCUCACCAAGGCGACGACGGGUAGCCGGCCUGAGAGGGUGACCGGCCACACUGGGACUGAGACACGGCCCAGACUCCUACGGGAGGCAGCAGUGGGGAAUAUUGCACAAUGGGCGCAAGCCUGAUGCAGCGACGCCGCGUGAGGGAUGACGGCCUUCGGGUUGUAAACCUCUUUCAGUAGGGAAGAAGCGAAAGUGACGGUACCUGCAGAAGAAGCGCCGGCUAACUACGUGCCAGCAGCCGCGGUAAUACGUAGGGCGCAAGCGUUAUCCGGAAUUAUUGGGCGUAAAGAGCUCGUAGGCGGUUUGUCGCGUCUGCCGUGAAAGUCCGGGGCUCAACUCCGGAUCUGCGGUGGGUACGGGCAGACUAGAGUGAUGUAGGGGAGACUGGAAUUCCUGGUGUAGCGGUGAAAUGCGCAGAUAUCAGGAGGAACACCGAUGGCGAAGGCAGGUCUCUGGGCAUUAACUGACGCUGAGGAGCGAAAGCAUGGGGAGCGAACAGGAUUAGAUACCCUGGUAGUCCAUGCCGUAAACGUUGGGCACUAGGUGUGGGGGACAUUCCACGUUUUCCGCGCCGUAGCUAACGCAUUAAGUGCCCCGCCUGGGGAGUACGGCCGCAAGGCUAAAACUCAAAGGAAUUGACGG